GACGAACCGUCCGAACGUUUUUCGGAAUCACUGGGCUUAAAGGGUGCGUAGGCGGGUUUUCCAGUCUGGGGUGAAAUCCCACGGCUCAACCGUGGAAUUGCCUCAGAUACUGACGACCUCGAGGGAGGUAGGGGCGAGCGGAACUGUGGGUGGAGCGGUGAAAUGCGUUGAUAUCCACAGGAACUCCGGUGGCGAAGGCGGCUCGCUGGACCUCUUCUGACGCUGAGGCACGAAAGCUAGGGGAGCAAACGGG
rnacentral:rRNA from 1 species